UGGGGAAUAUUGCACAAUGGGCGCAAGCCUGAUGCAGCCAUGCCGCGUGUGUGAAGAAGGCCUUCGGGUUGUAAAGCACUUUCAGCGAGGAGGAAGGUGGUGAGCUUAAUACGCUCAUCAAUUGACGUUACUCGCAGAAGAAGCACCGGCUAACUCCGUGCCAGCAGCCGCGGUAAUACGGAGGGUGCAAGCGUUAAUCGGAAUUACUGGGCGUAAAGCGCACGCAGGCGGUUUGUUAAGUCAGAUGUGAAAUCCCCGGGCUCAACCUGGGAACUGCAUUUGAAACUGGCAAGCUAGAGUCUCGUAGAGGGGGGUAGAAUUCCAGGUGUAGCGGUGAAAUGCGUAGAGAUCUGGAGGAAUACCGGUGGCGAAGGCGGCCCCCUGGACGAAGACUGACGCUCAGGUGCGAAAGGCGUGGGGCAGCAAACAGGAUUAGAUACCCUGGUAGUCCACGCUGUAAAACGAUGUCGAUUUUGGAGGUUGUGCCCCUUGAGGCGUGGCUUCCGGAGCUAACGCGUUAAAUCGACCGCCUGGGGAGUACGGCC
rnacentral:rRNA from 1 species